UUGAACGCUGGCGGCAGGCCUAACACAUGCAAGUCGAGCGGUAGAGAGGUGCUUGCACCUCUUGAGAGCGGCGGACGGGUGAGUAAUACCUAGGAAUCUGCCUGGUAGUGGGGGAUAACGUUCGGAAACGGACGCUAAUACCGCAUACGUCCUACGGGAGAAAGCAGGGGACCUUCGGGCCUUGCGCUAUCAGAUGAGCCUAGGUCGGAUUAGCUAGUUGGUGAGGUAAUGGCUCACCAAGGCUACGAUCCGUAACUGGUCUGAGAGGAUGAUCAGUCACACUGGAACUGAGACACGGUCCAGACUCCUACGGGAGGCAGCAGUGGGGAAUAUUGGACAAUGGGCGAAAGCCUGAUCCAGCCAUGCCGCGUGUGUGAAGAAGGUCUUCGGAUUGUAAAGCACUUUAAGUUGGGAGGAAGGGCCGUUACCUAAUACGUGAUGGUUUUGACGUUACCGACAGAAUAAGCACCGGCUAACUCUGU
rnacentral:rRNA from 1 species